GACAGAGGAUGCAAGCGUUAUCCGGAUUGAUUGGGCGUAAAGCGUCUGUAGGUGGUUACGCUAGUCGGCUGUUAAAGAUCAGGGCUGAACCCUGAGCAAGCAGUCGAAACUGCGUGGCUGGAGUACGGUAGGGGCAGAGGGAAUUUCCGGUGGAGCGGUGAAAUGCGUAGAGAUCGGAAAGAACACCAACGCGAAAGCACUCUGCUGGGCCGACACUGACACUGAGAGACGAAAGCUAGGGGAGCGAAUGGGAUUAGAACUACCGAGU
rnacentral:rRNA from 1 species